rnacentral:rRNA from 1 species
AAACAUGUCUUUUUGAAAUAUAUUUAAAGUCUGACCUGCCCACUGAAUAAUUUUAAAUGGCCGCAGUAUUCUGACUGUGCAAAGGUAGCAUAAUCAUUAGUCUUUUAAUUGAAGGCUGGUAUGAACGGUUGGACGAAGUAUAAGCUGUUUCAUAUAAAUUUAUAAUAGAAUUUUAUAUUUUAGUUAAAAAGCUAAAAUGUUAUUAAAAGACGAGAAGACCCUAUAAAUCUUUAUAAUUAAUAGUAACUAAAUUUUUUUGAUUUAUUUUAUUUUUUUAAUGUUAAUUAUUUUGUUGGGGUGAUGUUAAAAUUUAAUGAACUUUUAAUUUUUUAAAAUCAUUAAUUUAUGAAUUAUUGAUCCAUUAAUAGUGAUUAUAAGAUUAAGUUACUUUAGGGAUAACAGCGUAAUUUUUUUUGAGAGUUCAUAUCGACAAAAAAGUUUGCGACCUCGAUGUUGGAUUAAGGUAUAAUUUUGGGUGUAGCCGUUCAAAAAUUAAGUCUKYKCGACUUUUAAAUCCUUACAUGAUC